rnacentral:rRNA from 1 species
AUUGAACGCUGGCGGCAUGCCUUACGCAUGCAAGUCGAACGGCAGCACGGGUGCUUGCACCUGGUGGCGAGUGGCGAGCGGGUGAGUAAUACAUCGGAACAUGUCCUGUAGUGGGGGAUAGCCCGGCGAAAGCCGGAUUAAUACCGCAUACGAUCCACGGAUGAAAGCGGGGGACCUUCGGGCCUCGCGCUAUAGGGUUGGCCGAUGGCUGAUUAGCUAGUUGGUGGGGUAAAGGCCUACCAAGGCGACGAUCAGUAGCUGGUCUGAGAGGACGACCAGCCACACUGGGACUGAGACACGGCCCAGACUCCUACGGGAGGCAGCAGUGGGGAAUUUUGGACAAUGGGCGAAAGCCUGAUCCAGCAAUGCCGCGUGUGUGAAGAAGGCCUUCGGGUUGUAAAGCACUUUUGUCCGGAAAGAAAUCCUUGACUCUAAUACAGUCGGGGGAUGACGGUACCGGAAGAAUAAGCACCGGCUAACUACGUG